GAUGAAGAACGUAGUGAAAUGCGAUAAGUAGUGUGAAUUGCAGAAUUCAGUGAAUCAUCGAAUCUUUGAACGCACAUUGCGCCCCUUGGUAUUCCAUGGGGCAUGCCUGUUCGAGCGUCAUUUGUACCCUCAAGCUAAGCUUGGUGUUGGGUGUUUGUCCACUCCCUCGUGUUUGGACUCGCCUUAAAACAAUUGGCAGCCAGUGUUUUGGUAUUGAAGCGCAGCACAAUUUGCGAUUCUAGCCUAGAAUACUAGCAUCCAUCAAGUCAUUUUUAACGCUUGACCUCGGAUCAGGUAGGGAUACCCGCUGAACUUAAGCAUAUCAAUAAGCGGAGGG
rnacentral:misc_RNA from 1 species